rnacentral:rRNA from 1 species
AUUGAACGCUGGCGGUAGGCCUAACACAUGCAAGUCGAACGGCAACAGGUCUAGGGCUGGUGACGAGUGGCGGAGGGGCGCGUAAUACAUCGGAAUUCGCCGGAUCGUUGGGGUUCACGGAGCUUAACGUACGCUAAUUUCCGAUAAGAUCUAUGGAUGACAACAGGGGAUAGCAAGGCAUUUUGCGCUCGCGUGGGAUUAUGUCAGAUUAGGUAGUAGGUGUGCAAAAGGCUGACCAAGCCGACGAUCUGUAGCUGGCCUGAGAGGAAGAUCAGCCACAAUGGUACUGAGACGCGGCGCAGACUCGUACGGGAGGCAGCAGUGGGGAAUUUUGGACAAUGGGCGAAAGCCUGAUCCAGCCAUGCCGCGUGAGGGAGGAAGGCCUUCGGGUUGUAAAUGACUUUUGUUCGGAAAGAAAAGAAGCUUUGUAAUAAAGGGAGAUUAUGACGGUACCGAAAGAAUAAGCACCGGCUAACUUCGUG